rnacentral:lncRNA from 1 species
AAAAAGUAUAUAUAAAAUGUUAAAAAGAAAAAAUUAAACGAAAAAGCAAAAGAAAAUAAAUAAAACACUUUACUAAAGUAAUUAUUAUUGUAAUAAAAAUUAACCAUUGAUAUGACAAAAAAAAUAAAAUACAGUAUAAAUGUAAUAACAGAGAAAAAAAACGAAAUAAGAAACACAAAAAACGCUAAUGCAAAAAGAAUCAUUUAUAACAGAAAAAAAGGAAAAAAAUAAACGCAAUAAGAAAAACAAAAAACGCUAAUGCAAAAAGGAAAAUAGAAAAAACUCAAAAAAAAAACUCAAAAAAAAAACCAAAACAAAAGGUAAAACAAAACGCAAAAAAAUGAAACACUACAAAAUGCUGUAGUGAAGAUUCAAACUCUAGUAAAUAAGAAAGGGAAAACUUUCCCCAACCACUAUACCACAUUUAAUUUAAUUAUUAAGGAGGAAAUAGUUUUUAUAUAUUAUAUGCGAGCCCAAACCCGCCCAUCCUACACCUUAAC